rnacentral:rRNA from 1 species
UACGUAGGGUGCGAGCGUUGUCCGGAAUUAUUGGGCGUAAAGAGCUUGUAGGUGGUUUGUCGCGUCUGCUGUGAAAAUCCGAGGCUCAACCUCGGACUUGCAGUGGGUACGGGCAGACUAGAGUGUGGUAGGGGAGACUGGAAUUCCUGGUGUAGCGGUGAAAUGCGCAGAUAUCAGGAGGAACACCGAUGGCGAAAGCAGCUCUCUGGGACGGUACUGACGCUGAGACGCGAAAAGCGUGGGGAGCGAACAGG